UCCUUGCUUUUGCAGUGUGAGUGUUUAUUCCUUGCUUUUGCGGUGUGAGUGUUUAUUCCUUGCUUUUGCCUGUGUUUUUUCUGCUGCACUCCAUUUCUUUCUCUUUUUCUCUUUUCCUUUUGCUUUCCACUGUGUCUCUGUCUCUGUCUCUGUCUCUUGGCGAAACUGAAGGGCUAACUCCACUUGUUUUUCUUGGACAGCGUGGUCAUGCCCAUCCAUUCUCACUUCUCUUUUUUCUUUUUCUGCUGUUUGAACACAAGCUGGUGUACUCCAGCUGUAAAAGGGGAUGAUUCCACAUGCAUGAAAACCGCGAGCACAUGGUCAUUACUUUUGCUUUUCUCUUUUAGCAGCCUGGUCAUUACUUUUGCUUUCUCAAAAAUCAGAGCAUGAUUCCACAUGCAUGAAAACCGCGAGCACAUGGCUUGCCUUUCCUAUAUGCUGGAGAAAGUGGGGGUGCCGUCCGCAAAGCUCAAGUUGCCGAAAAACACCAUGUUCGUCUUCCCAUCUUCGAACUGUCCGCGUGUCACUGACCAAGAUGGAAAUAACCCUGACGCGAGAUAAAGAUUGGAACUGCUAGUUUCCAUAGCUAUGCUAAAUUCUUUGAAGCUGAGCUCUAUAGUCGGCGUAGAUGAGCUGAUCAUCGUCAGAUUCUGAGACGACUUGUUGGAUGAGAGGAUCGAUGUCAUUGGGAACUGCGGCAGAGGAUAUGAGAGGGAGGAGGAGGUGAUGGUCAUGCCGAUGUUGUAGGAAACCUUCAACCUCUGCUUCAGGAUCCUCUUCCCCCAACAUUGGAGGAACCUUCAACCUCGAGAUCAACGCUCCCAUUUUCCAUUGAGUAAAUCAGAUUUGAGUGGUUCCUUUAAAUGAAGCAAUGAAAGCUUUGCCCAACAACCCCCAAACUUGGAUUAAAAAUCCCUAACCCAGGAAUCUUCGAUUCACCCAUGGCCUGUCUGCAGAGGGUUGUACAAAGAGAUGAACGGAGAUCUUCAGAUCCAUCGGAAACGAAAGCGGAGGUCCAAAAAUGAUUGGGUGCUUUGGUUAUGUCAGUUGGCAUUUGCUUUGGCGUUGGUAAGGACCAGAAAAGUAGAGCUCAGUGAGGACCAUGACUCGGGUUUGGGAGUUAAUGAGGACCGAGCCGUGGCGCGACCAAGCCGAGUCGAGUUGAGAGAGAACUCAGAACUGGUGAGUCAGAAGGUUGCAGACGACGAGUGACCUGGCCGACUCAGGCUGAGCGAGAAUACGAUUGGGUGUGGGGAGCGGAAAGGGAAGAAAUCGAGAGGGAAUCUGAGCCAAGUGUUGGGUGGCCAUACCUGCAAAACAGAUACAACUCGAACGCGAUCUAACUCGAAUUAGAUCCCGUCGAUCUCAAGCUUGUUCUCAUUGAUCCGCAGGAGACCAGGAACGAUGACUAGUUUCGAGGCAUGAUGAAUCACCGAACCAACUCGCUUACUCACUCACCAAAUUGGCAGAGCGAUUCCUAAACUCUGACUCACUUCUCAUGACUGUGCUCUCGGAAAUCGACGACAAGACCUUCUUCGCCACUGCGAUCCUUGCGAUGCGCCAUCCUAGAAUACUUGUUUUGGCAGGUUGCCUAGGAGCUCUGAUUUGUGAUGACUAUUCUUUCUGUUCUUGUCGGCUUGGCUGCUCCAAAUCUGCUCUCAAGGAAAUGGUCCCAUCA